rnacentral:rRNA from 1 species
GACGAACGCUGGCGGCGUGGAUUAGGCAUGCAAGUCGAACGGUAUAAACCUUUCGGGGUUUAGAGAGUGGCGAACGGGUGAGUAACACGUAGGUAAUCUACCCUCAAAACGGGGACAACCCAGGGAAACUUGGGCUAAUACCGGAUGCGUGCAAGCAAUGUUUUGGCUGUUAAUGCUAUUCACGGAAGUGAGUAGUGUUAAUGGUUGAGAGCAUUAUUUGCAUAAAAGGUGGCAUAUGCUGCCGUUUGAGGAUGAGCCUGCGUCCUAUUAGUUAGUUGGUGAGGUAAUGGCUUACCAAAGCGAUGAUAGGUAGGCGGCCUUAACGGGUGGUCGCCCACACUGGGAUUGAGAGACGGCCCAGACUCCUACGGGGAGGCAGCAGUCGAGGAAUAGUCUACAAUGGACGGAAGUCUGAUAGUGCGACGCCGCGUGAACGAAGAAUCCCUUCGGGGUGUAAAGUUCUUUUAUACGUGAGCAGUGCCCUUUAUAUGAAUAGUAUAGAGGGAGGGAUUUAAGCGU